rnacentral:rRNA from 1 species
AUUCCAGCUCCAAUAGCGUAUAUUAAAGUUGUUGCGGUUAAAAAGCUCGUAGUUGGAUUUCUGCCGAGGAUGACCGGUCCGCCCUGUGGGUGUGCAUCUGGCUCAGCCUUGGCAUCUUCCUGAAGAACGUAGCUGCACUUGACUGUGUGGUGCGGUAUUUAGGACAUUUACUUUGAGGAAAUUAGAGUGUUUCAAGCAAGCGCACGCUUUGAAUACAUUAGCAUGGAAUAAUAAGAUAGGACCUCGGUUCUAUUUUGUUGGUUUCUAGAGCUGAGGUAAUGAUUAAUAGGGACAAUCGGGGGCAUUCGUACUUAUACGUCAGAGGUGGAAUUCUUGGAUUGUAUAAUGGCGAACUACUGCGAAAGCAUUUACCAAGGAUGUUUUCAUCG